rnacentral:rRNA from 1 species
CCUACGGGGUGCAGCAGUGGGGAAUAUUGCGCAAUGGGCGAAAGCCUGACGCAGCGACGCCGCGUGAGGGAUGAAGGUCUUCGGAUCGUAAACCUCUGUCAGCAGGGAAGAACGGUCACUGUGCUAAUCAGCAGUGAAUUGACGGGACCUGCAAAGGAAGCACCGGCUAACUCCGUGCAAGCAGCCGAGGUAAUACGGAGGGAGCGAGCGUUAAGCGGAAUUACGGGGCGUAAAGCGCUCGUAGGCGGUAUGUCAAGUCAAGGGUGAAAUCCCCGCGCGCAACGUGGGAACUGCCUUUGAAACUGGCAAACUGGAGUGUGUGAGAGGAUAGUGGAAUUCCAGGUGUAGGAGGGAAAUCCGUAGAUAUCUGGAGGAACAUCAGUGGCGAAGGCGACUAUCUGGCACAUAACUGACGCUGAGGAGCGAAAGCGUGGGUAGCAAACAGGAUUAGAUACCCCGGUAGUC